GCCUCAUCCCCAGGCCUGGAGGUAGCUGUGCCUCUCCCCUGUGGCUGGGGCAUCCAGUGACUGGGAUGAAGACGCGAUGGCUGGAGCUGGCACGGCUGCGUGGAACCAUGAGGUGCAUCAGGAAUAGAGGCCAUGACGACAGGGGCAGAAUGAAUGGAGCCUGGGUCCUUGACCACCUAUCAGCCCCGGAUCACCCACUUGGACUAUUACAUGAAAGUAAACCCCAACCCCAGCUCGCUCA